UUAAUUUCUUAUCUGGGAUACGCCAGGCACUGAUCUUCAUCUCCACUACUGACAAAGCAGGAUCAGCUGCAAACAUCUGCUGAUUGCUCUCAGCUUCUUAGUUAAUCCUUGCCCUACUGGACCUAACUUUGACAGAAAACUUCCACCUCUCCAACAUCAGUAGAAGAGGCACUGGCAGGGAGUGGUGCCCAGCAGAAUCCAGGUAAAAAGUUAGAGCUUUCUAUAAUGGCUACUGACCUUACAAUGGAAGGUGCACCAAGGAACAAGUGGCACUACAACCACUACAGCGAGCUAUGUACAUAAAGUAUUAAUAUAUUUUAUUAAACACAUCUUUUCUUACAGGACAUACCAAGGUGCUAC